UACAGAGGGUGCAAGCGUUGUUCGGAAUUAUUGGCGUAAAGCGCGUGUAGGCGGCUUUGCAAGUCGGAUGUGAAAGCCCUCGGCUCAACCGAGGAAGUGCGUUCGAAACUGCAGAGCUUGAGUACCGGAGAGGGUGGCGGAAUUCCCCAAGUAGAGGUGGAAAUUCGUAGAUAUGGGGAGGAACACCGGUGGCGAAGGCGGCUUUCUGGGCAUUUCCUGACGCUGAGACGCGAAAGCGUGGGAGCGAACCGG
rnacentral:rRNA from 1 species